UCUGGCAGCAAUGGCGAGAAGGUCACACCCGUUCCCAUACCGAACACGGAAGUUAAGCUUCUCAGCGCCGAUGGUAGUUGGGACUUUGUCCCUGUGAGAGUAGGACGUUGCCAGGC
rnacentral:rRNA from 6 species